AUCCACCAAUGGACGGCAUCACCUUCAACGCACAUGUCGCUUGAUACAGGCACAGUUCCACAUGACUGGCGAAUUGGGAAGGUCAUUCCGGUUUUCAAGAAAGGUGACAGAUCAUCCCCACGUUUUUCCAUUGCUCGCCCCGUGACAGCAACCUCAUCCUACCAGUACGUCGAACACCCCGCACAGGCCAUCCAAACAGCGUCAUCCCGCAUCGUUCCCGAACAACUACAUUUCAGAAAUCAUUUUUUGUCCACACAGCUCGCGACUGGAAUGACCUUCCCUGUCACUUAGCACAAAUCCCUGAUCCAGUCCAUUUCAAGACUGCCAUCGAGGA